rnacentral:rRNA from 1 species
AUUGAACGCUGGCGGCAUGCUUUACACAUGCCAGUCGAACGGCAGCGCGGGCUUCGGCCUGGCGGCGAGUGGCGAACGGGUGAGUAAUGCAUCGGAACGUGCCCAGUAGUGGGGGAUAGCCCGGCGAAAGCCGGAUUAAUACCGCAUACGACCUGAGGGUGAAAGCGGGGGACCGAAAGGCCUCGCGCUAUUGGAGCGGCCGAUGUCGGAUUAGCUAGUUGGUGGGGUAAAGGCUUACCAAGGCGACGAUCCGUAGCUGGUCUGAGAGGACGACCAGCCACACUGGGACUGAGACACGGCCCAGACUCCUAAGGGAGGCAGCAGUGGGGAAUGUUGGACAAUGGGGGCAACCCUGAUCCAGCCAUGCCGCGUGCGGGAAGAAGGCCUUCGGGUUGUAAACCGCUUUUGUUCGGGAAGAAAUCCUCUGGGCUAAUACCCCGGGGGGAUGACGGUACCGGAAGAAUAAGCACCGGCUAACUACGUG